UACGUAGGGGGCGAGCGUUGCCCGAAUUUACUGGGCGUAAAGCGCACGUAGGCGGCUUCGUAAGUCUGGUGUGAAAUCUCACGGCUCAACCGAGGGGGUGCACCAGAUACUGCGAAGCUCGAGGACGGGAGAGGAGAUUGGAAUUCCCGGUGUAGCGGUGAAAUGCAUUGAUAUCGGGGGGAACACCAGUGGCGAAGGCGGAUCUCUGGCCCGUUGCUGACGCUGAGGUGCGAAAGCUGGGGGAGCGAAAGGG
rnacentral:rRNA from 1 species